UACGUAGGGCGCAAGCGUUAUCCGGAAUUAUUGGGCGUAAAGGGCUCGUAGGCGGUUUGUCGCGUCUGCCGUGAAAGUCCGGGGCUCAACUCCGGAUCUGCGGUGGGUACGGGCAGACUAGAGUGAUGUAGGGGAGACUGGAAUUCCUGGUGUAGCGGUGAAAUGCGCAGAUAUCAGGAGGAACACCGAUGGCGAAGGCAGGUCUCUGGGCAUUAACUGACGCUGAGGAGCGAAAGCAUGGGGAGCGAACGGG
rnacentral:rRNA from 1 species